rnacentral:RNase_P_RNA from 1 species
GACGGCCGGAUGGUCGCCUUUCGGCGCGGGCGACCGCAUCGGGGGGAGGAAAGUCCGGGCUCCACGGAAGCACGGUGCCGGAUAACGUCCGGCGGGGGCGACCCUAGGGAAAGUGCAACAGAAAACAUACCGCCUGUCCGCGCUUCGGCAGUGACGGGUAAGGGUGAAAUGGUGCGGUAAGAGCGCACCGCGCGACCGGCAACGGAAGCGGCAGUGUAAACCCCACCGGGAGCAAGACCGUAUAGGGGCGGCGCGUCGGGGCUUCGGCCCCGGCAGGCGGGCUUUCGAGCCGCCGCCCGGGUAGGUCGCGCGAGGCGUCCGGCGACGGGCGUCCCAGAUGAAUGGCCAUCGAACGCCUUCGGGCGGGAACAGAACCCGGCUUACAGGCCGUCUGG